AAUAGAUACCCCGGUAGUCCACGCCCUAAACGAUGCCCACUAGGUGUCGGGGGUAACCUCCGAUGCCGCAGCUAACGCAUUAAGUGAACCGCCUGGGGACUACGGCCGCAAGGUUGAAACUCAAAGGAAUUGGCGGGGGACCGCACAAGCGGUGGAGCAUGUGGCUUAAUUCGAUGCAACGCGAAGAACCUUACCAGGGCUUGACAUGUAUCUGCAAGCGAUAGAAAUAUCGUCGCCUUCGAGGGUGAUACACAGGUGGUGCAUGGCUGUCGUCAGCUCGUGUUGUGAAAUGUUGGGUUAAGUCCCGCAACGAGCGCAACCCUCAUUGUCUGUUGCCAGCGAGUAAUGUCGGGAACUCGGACAAAACUGCCUCUGUAAGGAGGAGGAAGGUGGGGAUGACGUCAAGUCAUCAUGCCCCUUAGCCCUGGGCUGCACACAUGCUACAAUGGCCGGUACAAAGGGUUGCUAACCCGCAAGGGUAUGCUAAUCUCAAAAAACCGGUCUCAGUUCGGAUUGAGGUCUGC
rnacentral:rRNA from 1 species